AACCCAUGCAUAGGACAUUUCCACAAUAAAUCCUUGAAUCUUUAACAUGCUUCAUACAAGCUUUUAUCCUUCAUUUUCUUGAAUGAAUUAAGAACAUUUAGGAGUUU